AACGAACGCUGGCGGCAGGCUUAACACAUGCAAGUCGAACGCACCUUUCGGGGUGAGUGGCAGACGUGUGAGUAACGCGUGGGAAUCUACCCUUCUCUACGGGAUAGCUCCGGGAAACUGGAAUUAAUACCGUAUACGUCCUGAGGGAGAAAGAUUUAUCGGGGAAGGAUGAGCCCGCGUUGGAUUAGCUAGUUGGUGGGGUAAAGGCCUACCAAGGCGACGAUCCAUAGCUGGUCUAAGAGGAUGAUCAGCCACAUUGGGACUGAGACACGGCCCAAACUCCUACGGGAGGGAGCAGUGGGGAAUAUUGGACAAUGGGCGCAAGCCUGAUCCAGCCAUGCCGCGUGAGUGAUGAAGGGCGUAGGGUUGUAAAGCUGUUUCAGUGGGGACGAUAAUGACGGUACCCACAGAAGAAGCCCCGGCUAACUACGUG
rnacentral:rRNA from 1 species